rnacentral:rRNA from 1 species
CAACGCGAAGAACCUUACCAGGCCUUGACAUGCAGAGAACUUUCCAGAGAUGGAUUGGUGCCUUCGGGAACUCUGACACAGGUGCUGCAUGGCUGUCGUCAGCUCGUGUCGUGAGAUGUUGGGUUAAGUCCCGCAACGAGCGCAACCCUUGCCUUUAGUUGCCAGCAGUUCGGCUGGGCACUCUAAAGGGACUGCCGGUGUUAAACCGGAGGAAGGUGGGGAUGACGUCAAGUCCUCAUGGCCUUUAUGACCAGGGCUACACACGUACUACAAUGGCCGAUACAAAGGGCAGCGACACUGCGAGGUGAAGCCAAUCCCGUAAAAUCGGUCUCAGUCCGGAUUGGAGUCUGCAACUCGACUCCAUGAAGUUGGAAUCGCUAGUAAUCGUGGAUCAGCAUGCCACGGUGAAUACGUUCCCGGGCCUU